rnacentral:rRNA from 1 species
UGGGGAAUAUUGCACAAUGGGCGCAAGCCUGAUGCAGCCAUGCCGCGUGUGUGAAGAAGGCCUUCGGGUUGUAAAGUACUUUCAGCGGGGAGGAAGGGAGUAAAGUUAAUACCUUUGCUCAUUGACGUUACCCGCAGAAGAAGCACCGGCUAACUCCGUGCCAGCAGCCGCGGUAUUACGGAGGGUGCAAGCGUUAAUCGGAAUUACUGGGCGUAAAGCGCACGCAGGCGGUUUGUUAAGUCAGAUGUGAAAUCCCCGGGCUCAACCUGGGAACUGCAUCUGAUACUGGCAAGCUUGAGUCUCGUAGAGGGGGGUAGAAUUCCAGGUGUAGCGGUGAAAUGCGUAGAGAUCUGGAGGAAUACCGGUGGCGAAGGCGGCCCCCUGGACGAAGACUGACGCUCAGGUGCGAAAGCGUGGGGAGCAAACAGG